UACAGAGGUCUCAAGCGUUGUUCGGAUUCAUUGGGCGUAAAGGGUGCGUAGGCGGUGUCGUAAGUCGGAUGUGAAAUCCCGGGGCUUAACUUCGGAACUGCAUUCGAUACCGCGAUGCUUGAGGACUCGAGAGGAGAUUGGAAUUCACGGUGUAGCAGUGAAAUGCGUAGAUAUCGUGAGGAAGACCAGUGGCGAAGGCGGAUCUCUGGAGAGUUCCUGACGCUGAGGCACGAAGGCCAGGGGAGCAAACGGG
rnacentral:rRNA from 1 species